CAGCCCUUUCUCUCUCUACUAGACGCAACUCACAACCUUCUCUCUCUACUGGACGCAGCUCACAUCAUUCUAUCUCUACUGGAUGCAGAAAGAAGAACCGGGAUUUCACAGCAAUUGCAACUUCUACUAAGACAACAUAUGGAUAUGAAAAUUGGGGUUCUUAUAUUUGAUUCAUGUUUUUUUAUUCCAUUCUAAGAAUUGGAGUCGAUUUAUUUUGUGCUGUUAUCAUGUAAAAUUGAAAUUGAAACGGAAGAUGUAGAGUUUCCAUUGCUGUGUAUUGAUGAAGCACAUGCUAAAAACCCA